rnacentral:rRNA from 1 species
UACGGAGGGGGCUAGUGUUGUUCGGAAUUACUGGGCGUAAAGCGCACGUAGGCGGCUUUGUAAGUUAGAGGUGAAAGCCCGGGGCUCAACCCCGGAAUUGCCUUUAAGACUGCAUCGCUAGAAUUGUGGAGAGGUAAGUGGAAUUCCGAGUGUAGAGGUGAAAUUCGUAGAUAUUCGGAAGAACACCAGUGGCGAAGGCGACUUACUGGACACAUAUUGACGCUGAGGUGCGAAAGCGUGGGGAGCAAACAGG